rnacentral:rRNA from 1 species
GACGAACGCUGGCGGCGUGCUUAACACAUGCAAGUCGAACGGAAAGGCCCUGCUUGCAGGGUACUCGAGUGGCGAACGGGUGAGUAACACGUGGGUGAUCUGCCCUGCACUUCGGGAUAAGCCUGGGAAACUGGGUCUAAUACCGGAUAGGAGCCAUUUUUAGUGUGAUGGUUGGAAAGUUUUUUCGGUGUAGGAUGAGCUCGCGGCCUAUCAGCUUGUUGGUGGGGUAAUGGCCUACCAAGGCGGCGUCGGGUAGCCGGCCUGAGAGGGUGGACGGCCACAUUGGGACUGAGAUACGGCCCAGACUCCUACGGGAGGCAGCAGUGGGGAAUAUUGCACAAUGGGCGCAAGCCUGGUGCAGCGACGCCGCGUGGGGGAUGACGGCCUUCGGGUUGUAAACUCCUUUCGCUAGGGACGAAGCUUUUUGUGACGGUACCUAGAUAAGAAGCACCGGCUAACUACGUG